GGGGCUAUAGCUCAGUUAUUAGAGUGCUUGCCUUGCAUGCACAAGGCCCUGGGUUCAAUCCCCAGUACCA
rfam:Ictidomys tridecemlineatus contig096140, whole genome shotgun sequence.